AUACAUGCAAGUCGAACGAGUUCCCGUUGAUUGACGUGCUUGCACUGAUUUCAACAUUGGAACGAGUGGCGAACUGGUGAGUAACACGUGGGAAAUCUGCCCAGAAGCAGGGGAUAACACUUGGAAACAGGUGCUAAUACCGUAUAACAACAAAAUCCGCAUGGAUUUUGUUUGAAAGGUGGUUUCGGCUAUCACUUCUGGAUGAUCCCGCGGCGUAUUAGUUAGUUGGUAGGGUAAUGGCUUACCAAGACGAUGAUACGUAGCCGACCUGAGAGGGUAAUCGGCCACAUUGGGACUGAGACACGGCCCAGACUCCUACGGGAGGCAGCAGUAGGGAAUCUUCCACAAUGGACGAAAGUCUGAUGGAGCAAUGCCGCGUGAGUGAAGAAGGGUUUCGGCUCGUAAAACUCUGUUGUUGAAGAAGAACGGGUGUCAGAGUAACUGUUGACAUCGUGACGGUAUUCAACCAGAAAGCCACGGCUAACUACGUGCCAGCAGCCGCGGUAAUACGUAGGUGGCAAGCGUUGUCCGGAUUUAUUGGGCGUAAAGCGAGCGCAGGCGGUUUUUUAAGUCUGAUGUGAAAGCCUUCGGCUUAACCGAAGAAGUGCAUCGGAAACUGGGAGACUUGAGUGCAGAAGAGGACAGUGGAACUCCAUGUGUAGCGGUGGAAUGCGUAGAUAUAUGGAAGAACACCAGUGGCGAAGGCGGCUGUCUAGUCUGUAACUGACGCUGAGGCUCGAAAGCAUGGGUAGCGAACAGGAUUAGAUACCCUGGUAGUCCAUGCCGUAAACGAUGAGUGCUAAGUGUUGGAGGGUUUCCGCCCUUCAGUGCUGCAGCUAACGCAUUAAGCACUCCGCCUGGGGAGUACGACCGCAAGGUUGAAACUCAAAGGAAUUGACGGGGGCCCGCACAAGCGGUGGAGCAUGUGGUUUAAUUCGAAGCUACGCGAAGAACCUUACCAGGUCUUGACAUCUUCUGCCAAUCUAAGAGAUUAGACGUUCCCUUCGGGGACAGAAUGACAGGUGGUGCAUGGUUGUCGUCAGCUCGUGUCGUGAGAUGUUGGGUUAAGUCCCGCAACGAGCGCAACCCUUAUUAUCAGUUGCCAGCAUUCAGUUGGGCACUCUGGUGAGACUGCCGGUGACAAACCGGAGGAAGGUGGGGAUGACGUCAAAUCAUCAUGCCCCUUAUGACCUGGGCUACACACGUGCUACAA
rnacentral:rRNA from 2 species